rnacentral:tRNA from 1 species
AAGCAAAGAAGUAAAAUUUACAGUUAGUUUCGACCUAACUUUAGGGGAAUCAUUACCCCCCAUGCUUA